GGUACCGGGCAUUCAACCCAUGCCCAGCCUGCCUGGAGCAGCCUUCCCCCUGAAAAAACAAUCCUGCACCCAGUGGACCAGAGGAGGCUUUGGUGCUGCCCCAUUUCCAGCCUGGGCUCAGCUGGGAGUGGUGGCAGGGCUGGAAGGAGCCACAGCCCCAUCAGAGGGUGGAACUGCCCGGGAGUUCAGGUGCCUGCAGCUCCUGGAGCCUCUGCUCCUCCUGCCUGCCUCGGAUCAGCCUGGAGCAGCAGCAUGGCCUCACCUGGAGGAGGAGCAUGGCAUCACCUGGAGGAGGGGCAUGGCAUCACCUGGAGCAGCAGCAUGGCCUCACUUGGGAGCAGGAGGUUGCCAUCACCUGGGAACAGGAGCAUGGCAUCACCUGGAGCAGGAGCUUGGCAUCACCUGGAGCAGGAGGUGGCCUCACCUGGAGCAGGAGGUGACAUCACCUGGGAGCAGCAGCAUGGCAUCACCUGGAGCAGGAGCAUGGCAUCACCUGGAGCAGCAGGUGGGGUCACCUGGAGCAGCAGGUGGGGUCACCUGGGCCUCCCCAUGGACCUCAGGGACUGCUGCCAGCUGGACCAGCUCCUGCCACUGCCCUGGAGGGACCUGGUCAAUCUCUCUCCUCUCUGGGGAGUGUCUGCCCAUCUCUUGGGGAAGUUCCUGUGGUUAAUUAAAGAAAGGCCAGCAGGAGUCAAGGCGGUGUCUCGUAUUUGGGGAAUUAGGAUGCUGUGGGGAGCCUGGAGGAGAAGAAAGCACAGGAGGAAUACAAUAAUGACAGGGCUCAGUGAGCACUGCCAGCAGUCAAGGCCCAGAACCAUUUGCUGGAUGAUUUGGUGAGAUAUUGCAGGAGAAGGUGGGAUAACAGAGCUCUAAAGUCAGGGACUAAAACUCCACUUGUUGACAGCAGGAGGAAGGCACAGUGCUGGGAACGAGCUGAAACAAAUGUGCUUGAUUAAAUGAAGCUUGUGGGAUCACAUAUUUCUGUGCUGACAAAGUGAUUGCUGCAGAUCUCACCUGGCAGGACCUUUUACCUUUCUUGGAAUGCAGGUUUUCUGUAACAGGAGAGUUUUUCCACCCUCCACACCCCUCAGCUUGUUUUCCUUACAGUGAGGAUUUCUUCCACUGCUACAUGAUCCACCAAACAGCUUUUUGCUGCUGCUUUGUCACCCCCACGGUGAGACUGAGCAGGGGCUGGCAUCCAGCCACCUUCCCCAGCAGCCAGGGGGGAGUUGCUGUGCUUUCUGCACCCUGGGGUCCCUCUCUCCAGGUAAAGCACCCCACAGUCAAUGGGGAGUGAAACAGGCCACGUGUUCUCUUUUCCCUAAAGAGAAAAUUGCCAUUUUGGGGAAAAAUUGAGCCCUUAAAUGGAAAAUUCAACAAAUUGUAGACAUUGGGUGGCACCUCUUUAAAUUGUGCUUUUGUGAAUUUAUUUGUUUUCUCCUUUCCUAAAGCACUGGGGAUUGUUAUAGGUAGCAAGCAGCAGAGGGGGGCUAAAAUGAUCUGAAAAAUUAAAAGCAGUGUCGUUAUCUUUCUGCAAAGAUGUUCCCCAAAACAUCUUUUCCUGGCCAUGUCGUGCUUGGUUUUUAGUGGCUCAAAGGAAAGUUUUACAGCUCCCAAAACAGCAAUUCUGCAUCCCGAGGAGGAUGAAGGAUGAAGCAGGAUCUGCCUCUCCUGUACCAGAUUGUUUUGCUCUCCUAUGGCUGCGCUUGUCCCUGAGCUUUCAUUGCCCUGGAGAGAGGCAGAGGGCUGCAGGAAUGCUGGAGAAGCCCAGACCUUGAUGUGUGACAGCAAAGCCACUGGACAGACCCCUGAGAGCGAGAAGAGAGGAGGAUUCCAGCCCCCCGCCUGGUGCCAGCU